rnacentral:rRNA from 1 species
GACGAACGCUGGCGGCGUGCUUAACACAUGCAAGUCGAACGAGACGAUUGAAAGCUUGCUUUCGAAAGUCGAGUGGCAAACGGGUGAGUAACGCGUAGACAACCUGCCUUUGAGAUGGGGACAACAGUUCGAAAGGACUGCUAAUACCGAAUGUUGUAUAUUUUCCACAUGGAAGAUAUAUUAAAGAUGGCCUCUAUUUAUAAGCUAUCGCUCAAAGAUGGGUCUGCGUCUGAUUAGCUAGUUGGUGGGGUAACGGCCUACCAAGGCGACGAUCAGUAGCCGGUCUGAGAGGAUGAACGGCCACAUUGGGACUGAGACACGGCCCAGACUCCUACGGGAGGCAGCAGCGGGGAAUCUUCCACAAUGGACGAAAGUCUGAUGGAGCAACGCCGCGUGAGUGAAGAAGGGUUUCGGCUCGUAAAGCUCUGUUGUCGGGGACGAAUGUGCAGUAUUUGAAUAAAGUACUGUAAUGACGGUACCUGACGAGGAAGCCACGGCUAACUACGUGCCAGCAGCCGCAGUAA